GUGCCAGCCGCCGCGGUAAAACGUAGGAGACGAGCGUUAUCCGGAUUUACUGGGCGUAAAGAGCGUGUAGGAGGCAAUACAAGUUGGAUGUAAAAGCUCUCGGCUAAACUGAGAGAGGACGUUCAAGACUGUAGAGCUAGAGGAAGGCAGAGGUAGAUGGAACUCCGGGAGUAGUGGUGAAAUGCGUAGAUAUCCGGAAGAACACCAGAGGCGAAAGCGAUCUACUGGGCCUUAACAGACACUGAGACGCGAAAGCCAGGGUAGCAAACGGGAUUAGAGACCCCGGUAGUCCUGGCCGUAAACGAUGUAGACUAGGCGCUUGUCGGGCAAAACCGGUGAGUGUCGAAGCGAACGCGAUAAGUCUACCGCCUGGGGAGUACGGUCGCAAGAUUAAAACUCAAAGAAAUUGACGG
rnacentral:rRNA from 1 species